AACCUGAAAGGAGAGCGGAGAACGACGGAAGGAUGGGAGCUUCAAAGAUCUGGGGACAUCACCCUGCUUAGGUUUUAAGGAUUCAGCUAAUUCCGUUGCCUCUGAUCGCUGAUCGAUAAACACUGCAGAAUUAACCACGACUAUUACCGAUUGGCUCUCGACACGAGUAUGAAAGAGAAACAACCGAAUGGAUUGGUAAACCCAGAAACCAUGCCUCCAAGAUUAUUUUCUCCCCAUCUCUGGAGUAAAUCCCUCCUUUUCUACCACCACCACGAAGGCAAAAAUGACGCUUUGGAGGCAACCAUCAGCUCCUCCCUCAAAGAGGUAGUGAGUGCACUGUGAGCCUGAGAUCAAGUCUGAGAAUCUUUUAGAACUCA